UUUAAGUGUAACCAUGAGUUUCCGUGUCCAUUUUUGAUCGUGUGUCUUAUUUAAAUUUUUUUUAUAAUUAGUAUUUUUUGUUGUUACGAGAGGAUAAAACAUGAACAGUACUUUACUUGUGAUUUAUGUUUUUAAAUAUUUUUAAAAAAAACGGACGAUUAAAGUUAGAUGCGAAAAACCAUAUAUGCAUUUAAU
rfam:Oryza meridionalis cultivar OR44 (W2112) chromosome 4, whole genome shotgun sequence.